ACAAUACUCUUUGGCAAAAAGGGCCUGAAAAUAAAUUUGAAGACCAAUUGAUAGUCCAAUUUAUCAAUGAAAUUAACAACAUACCACUAAAUAGCACACCACAUUGCAUGGUUUAACACCAAAAUGAUUGUAGAUUAUUCUGUAACCAUCCCAUCAACUAUGCAUCCAUGACAAUCUGCAAUUGUUCUACUUAAAUUCUCUUUGGUUAUUGAUAAUCAUGUCACUUUUGAAUAGAAAUUUGUUGGUGAACCGAAAUUAGAGACAGAUUA
rnacentral:misc_RNA from 1 species